GUCGCCAAGAAAAAAGGGAGGGGGCAUCCAAGAGUUGGACGCCCCAAGACUCCAUACGCCAAGCCCUCAUCUCACGCCUCUUUGAAAGGGAUUUUCAAAGAAUUUUCCAUGGCUUUGCUUGCUGGUUCUUAGGCAUCAAAGAGGGUCUCUCUUGCUGGUUUUACAGUAAAAAAUAGAGAAGAAGGGUUCUUCCCAACGAGAG
rnacentral:lncRNA from 1 species